UUCUAAUUGUUUUCUGAGAACAGAUCGCGUGAGAGAGAGAGAGAGAGAGCGAGGUCAAAAGAGAGAGAGAGAGAGAGAGAGAGAGAGAGAGAGAGAGAGAGAGAGAGAGAGGCGACUGGGUGCCGUGCUCGACGCCCUAGCAAACCUUGGCCUCCUUCUCUUCUUCUUCCUCGUCGGCCUCCUUCUCUUCUUCUUUCUCUAGACUCUCUGAUUUUCGAUUUAUCUUUUCAUAUUCAUGCUAAGUACUGAUAGAUCUGUGUUGUGGUUGUCAAAAUCUGUUAGAUUAAGGUUCUCUGAUUUUGUUGCUGCGUUUAAACUCUUCAUAUAUUAGCUGAAAAAGUAUAUGGCUUCAAAGAUAAGUGCUGGAAAGACAGAUGAUUCUGAGUACGAGAUCAUCGAAGGUGGCUCUGAGAUAACCGAACCCAUCUUACAAAAGGCUGAACAUGGCGUCUCCUGCGCCUAAAAGAGGAGGGAGCGAGAAGCUUGGCGAGAUCUGUCAAUGAGAAACAAAAGCUUAAGUCGGAGAUGGCAGAGAAACCUAAUGGUGGUGGUGUAGGUGACCACAGCUUUAGGUUUUGGUUUAUUAGGUCUGGUUUCAUUUUUUUUGGUUUAUUAGGUUUUGGUUUAAUUUUCUUGGUCAAUGUAUAAAAUGAUUUCAUUUGUAAAAAAAAAUUUAAUUAAUAAUAAAAUUUAAUUUUUAAUUA